rnacentral:tRNA from 1 species
UGUGGCUCAGUGGUAGAGUGCUUGCCUAGCAAGCAUGAAGCCCUGGGUUCGAUUCCUCAGUA